AAUUUGUAUUAUUUCUAACAGUAUGCUUAGACAAUGUCUAUGGAAGAAACUGUUCACUCAGUUGUUCCAAUCAUUGUGUUGAUGCCAAAUGUAAUGGAAUUACUGGUCUAUGUUUUGAAUGUCUUCCUGGAUUUCUUGGAGGCUUUUGUGAACAAGACUGCCCACCUAAAUUCUAUGGUCAAGACUGUGUUAAGAAGUGCAACGACUCCUGUGUAGACCAGUUAUGUCAUCCCCAGACUGGAGAUUGUUUCAAUUGUUUUAUUGGCAAAGGUGGACCUCAGUGUGAUGACUGUCCACUAGGAACUUAUGGGGACAAUUGUGCCUUGAACUGUAGCUCUAUUUGUAAACUUGGAACUGGAUGUGAUCCAAUGUAUGGAACUUGUUUUGAAGGGAACUAAUUCUAACUAGAUCUAAAAACUUACAGUUAUGUACAUUUCAAUAAACCUAGCUAUAGAUUCGGCUUACUAAUAUCUAGUAUUAUACUCGACUCUAUAUACAAAUAUACUAAUAUAAAAUAUUUAUUUUGAAUGCUAUAUUGUAUAUUUAUAAUGAAAUACAACUGCUAUUUCUUAUCACGGUAAUCAUUUUAUCAAUUUAUAUUCAAAUGAUCAACAUAAAGUACAGGAAAGAAAUGCAUCAAGAAAUCCUUUCAGAUAAUGGACGUAGACAUUCAUAACAUUGUUAUCUCUAACAAUGCCAUCCUAAAUGGUGUGCAUUUUAUAAUUCCUCAACACUUGGGUGGUGUCAGAGCAUUCUAAAUCCCAUGGUUCAAAAUCUCAGUCUUCACCAGAAUUGAAAAUCAGAAGCCCCUCAGUUCGGAAGUCAAGUGCUCUAACAGUCCUACACAACUCUAGAGCGUACCUGACAUAUGUUGGGAAAGUAAAGACAAUUGGUUGUUCUCACCAAAAAAAAAAGUUCCCCUUCAAGACUUUGCGAUCUA
rnacentral:sRNA from 1 species